rnacentral:lncRNA from 1 species
UCAUUCAUAUGUUUCUUGCACUAACGUUGGAACGUUAAAUUACUAAUUUUCGUUACCUGCUUCGCCAAGUUUGUAAACUGUAGACGCUACUAUACGGUGUUUGCCCCUCCACACUGAAGAGAGUUCAAGUGCUACCAUUGGUCAAAAAUAAUGUCUGACUUUUAUAAAUACGGUGGAGUUGAGGGUAGUGGAUCGUUGGCUAGCGGAGAUGACAAUCGUGCUAAUUGCAAUUAUUGAUAAUAAUUUAAUGCAUUUUUUCUGUAUAUUUUGAUACUAAUGAAAUUAAGUAUUUAUACAUUGAAAAUUAACAUUGUAAUGUUAUAUUGUCUUACAAAUAAAACAAUUAUACCUUUUUAAAAUACAAGAG